rnacentral:rRNA from 1 species
UACGUAGGGUGCAAGCGUUAAUCGGAAUUACUGGGCGUAAAGCGUGCGCAGGCGGUUAUGCAAGACAGAUGUGAAAUCCCCGGGCUUAACCUGGGAACUGCAUUUGUGACUGCAUAGCUGGAGUACGGUAGAGGGGGAUGGAAUUCCGCGUGUAGCAGUGAAAUGCGUAGAUAUCGGGAGGAACACCGGUGGCGAAGGCGGCGACCUGGUUCGAUACUGACACUGAGGUGCGAAAGCGUGGGGAGCAAACAGG